rnacentral:rRNA from 1 species
CCAGACUCCUACGGGAGGCAGCAGUGGGGGAUAUUGCACAAUGGGGGGAACCCUGAUGCAGCGACGCCGCGUGAGUGAAGAAGUAUUUCGGUAUGUAAAGCUCUAUCAGCAGGGAAGAAAAAAGACGGUACCUGACUAAGAAGCCCCGGCUAACUACGUGCCAGCAGCCGCGGUAAUACGUAGGGGGCAAGCGUUAUCCGGAUUUACUGGGUGUAAAGGGAGCGUAGACGGCAAUACAAGUCGGAAGUGAAAUACCCGGGCUCAACCUGGGAACUGCUUUGGAAACUGUAUGGCUAGAGUGCUGGAGAGGUAAGCGGAAUUCCUAGUGUAGCGGUGAAAUGCGUAGAUAUUAGGAGGAACACCAGUGGCGAAGGCGACUUUCUGGACUGUACCUGACGCUGAGGCGCGAAAGCGUGGGUAGCGAACGGGAUUAGAUACCCCGGUA